AGAGAGAGACAUGCGCGCAUAUCAAUAAGCGGAGGAAAAGAAACUAACAAGGAUUCCCUUAGUAACGGCGAGUGAAGCGGGAAGAGCUCAAAUUUGAAAUCUUCAAGGUUCUACCUUGACGAAUUGUAGUUUAUAGAAGUGUUUUCUGUUAGUGGAGUGGCAAAAGUUCUUCGGAAUAGGACAUCAUAGAGGGUGAGAAUCCCGUAUUUGGUCAUUCCUCCUAGCGUUGUGAUACACUUUCAACGAGUCGGAUUGUUUGGGAAUGCAGUCCAAAAUGGGUGGUAAAUUUCAUCUAAAGCUAAAUAUCGGCGAGAGACCGAUAGCGAACAAGUACCGUGAGGGAAAGAUGAAAAGAACUUUGAAAAGAGAGUUAAACAGUACGUGAAAUUGUCAAAAGGGAAGCGUUUGACACCAGUGUUGUUUUUCCGAAAAUCAAUUACGAAUGUUUUGUUUUUGAGGAGUUAUGGACUUCAUCGGCUUGCUUCUUUCUUUACGAAACUUUCUUAAUGCACUUUUCGGUUAACAAGUCAACAUCAAUUUCUUUUGUUGUAAAAGGGUAUGAGGAAGGUGGCUUUCUUUUCGGAGAAAGUGUUUAUAGCCUUGUACCUCUGCAAUCGGAGAGAUUGAGGUCUGCAGCGUAGAUCCUUCGGGGUUAGAUACAUUUGUGCUAAGUUAUAGCUUUUCAUAGACAACUUGUUGACUAUGUUUAGUCUUGUAGCUUACUCGCUUAUGCUAUUUUACCUACGCUUAGGAUGUUGAUCUGUAGUGCGUGCGC
rnacentral:rRNA from 1 species